UACGUAGGGUGCGAGCGUUGUCCGGAAUUAUUGGGGCGUAAAGGGCUCGUAGGCGGUCUGUCACGUCGGGAGUGAAAACACGGGGCUUAACCCCGUGCCUGCUUCCGAUACGGGCAGACUAGAGGUAUGCAGGGGAGAACGGAAUUCCUGGUGUAGCGGUGAAAUGCGCAGAUAUCAGGAGGAACACCGGUGGCGAAGGCGGGUCUCUGGGCCGAAAUUGACGCUGAGGAGCGAAAGCGUGGGGAGCAAACAGG
rnacentral:rRNA from 1 species